rfam:Loxodonta africana unplaced genomic scaffold scaffold_11, whole genome shotgun sequence.
AGUGGUUAAGCACUCAGCUGCUAACUGAAAGGUCAGUGGUUUGAACCCACUAGCCACUC